AACGGGUUCCAUAUAGAACCCUUGGAAGGCAAAGAACCAUUUUUAUUAAAAUGGUUCUAUAAUUCACGUUUUGUGACUGAAGUGUAAACUAAAGAUACACAAUAAUUGCAGACCUACACAACUCAUUUACAAACCUACACAACUCAUUCACAAACCUUUUUGUGUCAAUAGGCUGUGGUCAAAUAAAGAGAGAGUCAACAAAUAGGCUAUUAAUAUUUAGUGUAUGAUUUAUUUCCUGUGAGCUUUUUUAUGCAAGUUUGUACAUUAGCAUGAAACUUACAGUGCAGUUUGCGUUUUUGGUGAAUUACCAGGUGUUUUCUUUAUUUUGUACAUUCUAAAUUGUCAAUGUUUGUUUAAUUUAACCUGAAGGGGCAUUAAAACGAAUAAUCGCAAAAGUGCCCUCUGGUGGCGUAUAUAUGCGUUGCACCAUAAGCGAAGAUGAGCCUCGUGACGUGACAGUUUUUUUUCAAACUGAGGUGAGGAGUUCGGACUCCGGACCGGCAUUUGUUUGUACCCUGAGAUAACCAUGGUUAAUAAAUGAUCAGACACGUCACUGGCUUUAAAAUAUAAACCCCAUUGAUGCAAAAAGAUGCUGCAUGGAAUGACAAUGAGGUUUGGAACAGACUUGGUGAAGAACAUGGAAACAUCUCUAAAUAAAAUGGCCCCAAACAUCAUCAGGAGUGCAAAAGAAGGAAGUAAAAAACAUCUCUACGCCAAUCUCAUUGGAGAGGAAACCACAGAAGGUCUGGUGAGGAAUGCUGAACUUAUGUUAUUGCCAGCAUUAUUUCAGGAAAAUCCCAGCUUCCUUGACUGUGUAAAUAGUGAACCCAAAGGUCCCACACCAACCAUAGUGUUCAACGGCUCUCCUGAUCUUCUCAAAUCUGAAAGUAUCAACUUUAUAAUGGACAAUGUGAACUUAAUAUGUGGAAGACAUUGACAUCACAGGCUGUGGAAUGACUGUGUCACAGGUCGGAGAAGCGGACCGCCCCUGUCGCGGAUCACGCUCCUCCUAGUUCCACCUCGAGGAGGUCCCAAAGCACCCCAAUGAGCAGACAAACCAGAGAUAAGUAAAAUAUAAAAAUAUAAACUUUAUUUAAAUUAUUUAAAACUAAAGUGGGGAAUGGGAAUCUAAAAAUCUCGCUUCUCGCCCUCAGGGGGAGUAUUACGGGGCCAGGGACGUUGGAGGGGUUUCCACGUGACUCCAGCUGGAACACCGCUAGAGAGCGUAUCUGGGUGGGUUGGGCACACACCGUCGCGGCGGCCCCUGAUGGCAUCCACAAAGGUCCAAGACCCUCCUAAGCUCCCAGCCGUAGCAGAACUACGUAUUUCAGCACCCGAACGACUAACAACCCAGCCGGCAUCUGCAGCGUAUAUCCAACGCGAUCAAACUUCACUCUGACAAGUAACUUCCUAUACACAACCACGCCGUCCUUUCGCCCGGACCAGCCCCGCACUCUUUCCGCCCGCUACC